UACGGAGGGUGCAAGCGUUGUCCGGAAUCACUGGGCGUAAAGGGCGCGUAGGCGGCUCAUGAAGGCUGUGGUGAAAGUUCGGGGCUCAACCCUGAAUCGGCCGUCGAUACUCCCGUGCUUGAGCACUGUAGAGGCAGAUGGAAUUCCGGGUGUAGCGGUGGAAUGCGUAGAGAUCCGGAAGAACACCGGUGGCGAAGGCGGUCUGCUGGGCAGUUGCUGACACUGAGGCGCGACAGCGUGGGGAGCAAACAGG
rnacentral:rRNA from 1 species